UGCGCCUGCGUGAGAUGAAAUGUCUUUCCGUACCAGCAGGUGGCAGUAUCUGAACAGCCAAUCAGAAUGAUCAGAUGGCCCAACGGACCGACGAGCUCCUACGCCGAUUAAACAUUUCAAAUCGGCUGAAAAAAAGCAGACGAGGACCAACUUCAGCCGACGGUGCGGAACACACUGAGAAAACUUAGUUGGCCGACCGUCGGCUUGGUGUGUUCCUGCCUUAAUGUAGACCAAGCAGUCCAUUUAAACUGAAAUUUGUUGCAGGAUUCAGUUAAGACAAUGACCAACGGUGGCUAUUCAGAUGAAUGUAAUUCCCUUAAUGGUACAGAUACCAUGUCGACUAGUAGUUGAGGUAACUGUCAGCCUUUAGUAUGAUGGAAAUAGAUCUGUGGUCUUGACUGAGACCAUAAGUCGAGACCAGGAUUCAGAUCAAGACAACAUGAACUCAUGAACUCUUGAAUUUAUUGUGAACGAUCUCAAAUAUAAAAAAAAGAAUGUGUUUUAGUCCACUUUUCACCAUCCAAUCAAUUCCCAGUGGAAAACAAUCAUAUCCCGCUAAUUGUUUUCCUUAUUGAAUGUCCUGUGUCAUUUGAAAGUGCGUCACAUUACGGAGUAAAUUGGAUUCGCGAAUUUCAUUUCAUGUUGAUCCAGACCAGGGCCAUGAUUACAUCGUUUUGAGGCUUUAGAUUAAGACCACUAUAUACGCUUUCCUCCAUUUUUUUCAAAAGAAACAGAUUUAAGCUGUAUAACAACAAUAUGUUUUUCUUAUAGUUCAUAAAUGGUAUGAGAGUCAGAACGGUCAGUUUAAAAGGCAGCCUCAAUGUUUGUCGUCCUCUAAGAUAAUGUGCAGCUCAUUAUGAGCCUUAAUCGCAUUAUCCACGACAAACAAUGGCCGUUUCCUCCUCAUUGGCUGGUUAAUUUUAUGUUUGUCUUGCAGCCAGCAAUCAAUUUACAGAUCGUAAACUAGCCCAGGCUGUUCCUCCAUGUUUUAGAUCACUUUUUACAGACAUUUUCGUUGACGCAUAAGAAGAAAAAAUGAAAUGAAAUCUUAAAUGUUUCUCCUAUACAAUAAUGAGAUUAAAUGGACAUGUUUGCUGAAGAUUCGUACUUUUCUAUUUUUUUUUUUUCUCCUGAGAGAAAGACCCCAGUAAUCUCCACAGAGAUCUCAAAAAUGUCUCCUUUCCACUGUCGGGCUGAAUGGAUCUAAGAACGCAGUGAAUUUCUGAUUCAUUUACUCUGGAGAUCCUUCGAAACCCAGGCGAGACCCUCAGGGCCUGAACGCAGACCAAGCUGUCCAUUCAAAUCAGCUAAAAUUUGUUUCUGGAUUCAAUUCAAACACUGAACAACAGUGGCUAUUCCGAGGAAUAUAACUCCCUUUAAUGGUACAAAUACCAUGUCAACUAGUAGUUGAGAUGAUUGAUGUUUUUCAUGGGUUAACUGUUGCAUCCAACCAACAGAUCAAAGGAACGGGUCGUAUGGCUGCUUUUGGUACGAGCAGCUGUAGCUACAGAUAUUUCCAUCUCAAAGGCUCGCUCUAUGCUCUCUUUCACUCCGCACAAACGCACACACGUGGAGAAUAAGGUGAGAGCCCAACGCAAGACGCACAACUUUGUAUGAUAACAAUGACCUGAGCCAGCCCACACUCAUGGCCCCUCUUACUCAUCCUGCUGUUCAGAAUACAGCACAUGAUGAAUGACAAGCACAAGAGCCUCUAUUGUGUCUGUAUGUGUGUUGUCAGGAAUAAACAUCACUCUCAGGGUGUGAGUGCACACCGGGUUGCUAGGUGAUGUACCUUUCUGUGAGUGAUAUAGCUGUGCUGGGCAAGCAGGAAGGCAAUUUUGGGGAUGCUGCUCUGGUGAACAGUGCUGAUUAAAAAUCAGAUCAUACACUACUAUUCAAAAGCUAGGUUUUGUUUUUGUUUUGUUUUUUACUUUGAAAUAAUUAUUUUAUGCUCAUUUAUGUGAUCAAAAAUACAAUAAAUCAGUACUAUUGUGAAAUUACAAUGAUUAUGAUUUCACUUUUUUAACUUUAGUUAGUGUGUAAUGUUGCUGUCUGCAAAGUUACGACGCUCAAAGUUCAAUGCAAAGGGAGAUAUUUUCUUUUACGGAAAGCGCUUUUUAAGGACUAUAACAAACGGCUGGUUGGGACUACAACAAGAUUCUUCCCGGGUUGGUGACAUCACAAACCUGAAAAUUUACAUAAACCCCGCCCCCAAGA